rnacentral:rRNA from 1 species
CCCCUCGGCGAAACAUCGAUCGAGGGAGGGAUCGCUCGUCGAUCCUUCCGAGAAACGAGAAUAACCUAGUCGACUACUUUCGACGACGGAUACCUCGGUUCCCACGCCGAUGAAGAGCGCGGCGAAACGCGAUAUGUCGUGCGAAUCGCAGAAUUCGGCGAAUCACGCAAUCCUCGAACGCAUCCGGCGCUCUCGGGUCUUCCCGGGAGCAUGCCCGUCUGAGCGUCGUUCCCAAAAAUCCCAACCCGACACGAUUAAAACCGUGGAAGGACGGGUGAUCGGGAGUCUGCGGAAACGCAGUCUCCUGGGAACGAGGCGCACCACUGGAAGCCCCAUCCGACGAUGAGGGAUCAGGUGCAAAGCUUCCGUCGAGAGCGCCUCCGGGUGCAACUCACAUCGGGAGUCGCAGCCCUGAACCAUUCAACUCGCGUCGACCUUGGGAUCAGCUUCCGGCUGGACAGACGCCGUCCGUGGUCCGUGAGACCAGGGUCGGAGGAGUAAAAUCCUCCCCUCUCUAACCACGACCUCAGAUCGGGCAAGAUUACCCGCUGAACUUAAGCAUAUU